rnacentral:rRNA from 1 species
GACGAACGCUGGCGGCGUGCCUAAUACAUGCAAGUCGAGCGGAUGACGGAGGAGCUUGCUCCUCUAGAUUCAGCGGCGGACGGGUGAGUAACACGUGGGCAACCUGCCCUGUAGAUUGGGAUAACUCCGGGAAACCGGGGCUAAUACCGAAUAAUCCUUCGGACCUCAUGGUCCGAUGUUGAAAGACGGUUUCGGCUGUCACUACAGGAUGGGCCCGCGGCGCAUUAGCCAGUUGGUGAGGUAACGGCUCACCAAGGCCACGAUGCGUAGCCGACCUGAGAAGGUUAUCGGCCACACUGGGACUGAGACACGGACCAGACUCCUACGGGAGGCAUCAGUAUGGAAUCUUCCACAAUGGACGAAAGUCUGAUGGAGCAACGCCGCGUGAGUGAAGAAGGUUCUCGGAUCGUAAAACUCUGUUGUGAGGGAAGAACAAGUACCGGAGUAACUGCCGGUGCCUUGACGGUACCUCAUUAGAAAGCCACGGCUAACUACGUGCCAGCAGCCGCAGUAAGAC